UUAAAGAGUGCGUAAUAGCUCACUGGUCGAGGAGUUUGGCGCCGAUAAUGAUCGGGAAUAAGUAUAAUACCGAAGCCGCGAACUUCGUAAGAAGUGGUAGGUGAGCGUUCCAUGCAGCGUUGAAGGUUUUCCGAAAGGGAUGCUGGAGCGCAUGGAAGUGAAUAUGCGGGCUUGAGUAACGAUAAAAAGGGUGAGAAUCCCUUUCGCCGUAAGUCUAAGGUUUCCUGGGGAAGGUAAAUCCGCCCAGGGUUAGCCGGGUCCUAAGGCGAGGCCGAAAGGCGUAGUCGAUGGAUAGCAGGUUAAUAUUCCUGCGCACAUACAAAGAUCAAAGCAUAGUGCGGAUCUCCAAGCUCUUCUGGACUGUUAGACGUCCAGGCCUUCGGGCCGUUGAAGGGGGAGGGGGUUCCUAGAAAAGCUAUGUGGGCGAUGUAUGUCCCGUACUAAAACUGACACAGGUAGACGAGGCGAAUAGCCUCAGGCGCUCGAGAGAAUGGUCGUGAAGGAAUUAGGCAAAAUCACUCCGUAAGUUCGCGAGAAGGAGGCCCUUCGGGGCGCAGAGAAAAGGCCCUGGCAACUGUUUAUCAAAAACACAGCACUGUGCUAAC
rnacentral:rRNA from 14 species